UACCUGGUUGAUCCUGCCAGUAGUCAUAUGCUUGCCUGAAAGAUUAAGCCGUGUAUGCUAAGUACAUGCCGAAACAAGGCAAAACCGCAAAUUUUAGUAGUUGUUUCGACCGGAAGCUUUCACAUUCCGGAAACGUUGUUGUCAUCGAUGAAAUGCUAAUAUUCAAGGAAUGUGCAGGGUUGUCGGACAUCGGACAAGAGAGAGAAUGUCGAACAAGUGACCGUCUGUUAAUAUCGCAACCGUGUUUUAUCCGCACAGACGACGGAGAAAACGAAAUCGAGACUCUGCGCUUCUCUGGUUCCUCUUCGACGUGGUACGCUUUUCGUCGUCGGAGUACAACGAAAUAGUAGCUACUCUGUGAAAUUUAGCUUAUCGAGAGGCUGGC
rnacentral:ncRNA from 1 species